rnacentral:rRNA from 1 species
AUUGAACGCUGGCGGCAUGCUUAAUACAUGCAAGUCGAACGAGUGGCGGACGGGUGAGUAAUGCUUGGGAAUCUAGCUUAUGGAGGGGGAUAACUACGGGAAACUGUAGCCAAUACCGCGUACCAUAGGUUGAGCCCUAGUGGGAUUAGGUAGUUGGUGUGGUAAAGGCUCACCAGGCCGACGAUCGCUAGCUGGUCUGAGAGGAGGACCGGCCACACUGGGACUGAGACCGGGCCCAGACUCCAACGGGGGGCACCAGUGGGGAAUAUUGCGCAAUGGGGGCACCCUGACGCAGCAAUGCCGCGUGAAUGAAGAAGGCCUUCGGGUUGUAAAGUUCUUUCGGUAGCGAGGCGUUAACUACAGAAGAAGCACCGGCUAACUCCGUGCCAGCAGCCGCGGUAAUUC